AUACCAUGAUGAGGGCGUUGCAAUAGCAAUUCUUUGAGUCUUUUCCAAGCUUUAAAUAGUGAUUCUCCUUCUAAUUAUUUAAAUUCUGUGAUUUGACUUCUCAAUUU